rnacentral:rRNA from 1 species
UACGUAGGGGCCAAGCGUUGUCCGGAUUUAUUGGGCGUAAAGAGCCUGUAGGCGGUUCGGCAAGUCGAAUGUGAAAUCUCCACGCUCAACGUGGAGGGGUCAUUCGAUACUGCCGUGACUUGAGUACGGUAGGGGAGUGUGGAAUUCCCGGUGUAGCGGUGAAAUGCGCAGAGAUCGGGAGGAACACCCGUAGCGAAGGCGGCACUCUGGGCCGAUACGUGACGCUGAGGAGCGAAAGCGUGGGGAGCGAACAGG